UAGUGAAUUCUAGGUCUCAAUC
rnacentral:miRNA from 1 species